UACAGAGGUCCCGAGCGUUGUUCGGAUUCAUUGGGCGUAAAGGGUGCGUAGGUGGCGCUGUAAGUGGGGUGUGAAAUCCCGGGGCUUAACUCCGGACUGCAUUCCAUACUGCGGUGCUUGAGGACUGGAGAGGAGACUGGAAUUUACGGUGUAGCAGUGAAAUGCGUAGAGAUCGUAAGGAAGACCAGUGGCGAAGGCGGGUCUCGUGGACAGUUCCUGACACUGAGGCACGAAGGCCAGGGGAGCAAACGG
rnacentral:rRNA from 1 species